AAUGAACGCUGGCGGCGUGCCUAAUACAUGCAAGUCGAGCGAAGCGGGGACGGGUGAGUAACACGUGGAUAACCUCCUAUAAGACUGGGAUAACUUCGGGGAACCGGAGCUAAACCGGAUACUUAUACAUGGUUGCGCGCUGCAUUAGCUAGUUGGUAAGGUAACGGCUUACCAAGGCAACGAUGCAUAGCCGACCGGAGAGGGUGAUCGGCCACACUGGAACUGAGACACGGUCCAGACUCCUACGGGAGGCAGCAGUAGGGAAUAUUCCGCAAUGGGCGAAAGCCUGACGGAGCAAUGCCGCGUGAGUGAAGAAGGUCUUCGGAUCGUAAAGCUCUGUUGUUAGAGAAGCGGUAUCUAACCAGAAAGCCACGGCUAACUACGUGCCAGCAGCCGCGGUAAUAC
rnacentral:rRNA from 1 species